AACCGGUCUGGAUUCAUAGUUUCACGCAGAGCACCCUGCAGGGGCCUGACUUACUGGACAGCCUCUCUGACAGCAGGGGAUGCCAGAUUUUCCACGAAACUAGAAGUCAUUUCCUCCAUUUUCUUCCAGCAACAAAAGACGCAAAUGCAUACACACUUACAAAUGAUGUGUUGUUAUCACUUCAGCAAGAGGUCAGACGUGGGUGUUACUUCAUCUGUGGUCACUUGUUCAGGAGGUUGAAAUCAAUGCCAAUAAGA